AUGUCUGUGGGCCCUGCCUUCAGCCCUUCCAGGAAGACCAACAAGGGCUCUGUGUGCCCAGGAUGCACCGGCCCGUGGGGGAGAGCCUGCCCGGGCCCAGACUGGAAGAUGAGAUUGACUUCCUGGCCCAGGAGCUGGCCCAGCAGGAGCCUCGGCACUCCAUGCUCACGGCCCAGCCCCAGCCUGAAGGGGGACAGCGGCAGCUGGAGGCUGGUAAGGGUGUCCCCACCCCCCCCCCCGGGGGGGGGGGGAGGGGCUCCCCGGCUCCCCGGCUCCCCACCGCUUUUGACCCCAGGCUGGUCCUAGUGUUCUAACCUGCCUUCUCUCUGCAGCAGCCACCCUGGGGCUCUCACAGCG
rnacentral:lncRNA from 1 species